rnacentral:lncRNA from 1 species
UACUCCUUAUUGUUUUAAAAAUACUGAAGAAAUUAGGGAGUUCUUGGACAGUGUAAUGUCCACUGGAGCUGAGGUUUUGCUUAUCAUGAAUGAUAAAGAAUAAGUUUCAUUUUACUUUUAUUUUUAUGCCACAAGUGUAACUUUAACCUGCAUUUUGUACUAGCCAGUGUGAUUGAACUGUAGAAUUAUGAGAAAUGUUGUGUGAAUAUAAUUUUUCAUAGAAUUUAGGGCAUAUUGUCUUCUAAUAUAUCAAUGUGGACAUGAUGCAACUUGAAAGAUUUUCAUAAAGCACUUCUCUUUGUAGUAUUAUCAUAUUCCAAAAUGACUAAAUAUUGUGUUUAUGGUCUUCCUCCUUGCCAUCUUACAUAGAAUUGCAUGAGUAGACCCAGACUCUUGGUCGUCGACUUUAUACUGAAAACCUUCUCUGCAAGUCUUCCUUGUUAGGCUGUGUAUUUCAUUGAACCAUUUGAUGAAUGUAUCCAUGUUCCACACUUCAUUUGAUUACUGUAGCCAUUCACCAGUUACCACUGUGUGACUUUUUUGGCAAUGUUUUAGUGGAAUCUAGUAUUUCUUUGAACAGCAUAAUCAUUCAUGGACACAAUGAAGAAUUCAAUUUGCUGAGUGCAGUUUCUUUGAGGUCAAUGGCGGCAUUUCUUCCUAGUGCAUUGCAUCAGCUAUAAGCGUAAGAAAGAUAUGCUUCAUCAAAUAUAUGUGGAUUUAUCUAGUUUUUCAUGAUAGGAAAGUUCUCUGAGUUUUGUACUUUCUGCAUGGUAUUUGUAGUUAGGUUGUUUGUGCUUUUAAGCUCUCGCAUCCUUUUUUUUUUUUUUACCUAAUCUCUAUUUUCAACUUCAUCACUAUUCUGAUUUAUCUGGAUUUAAACACCAAGAAGAAUACUGUUACCAUUUUGGCCUUCCGUCUAAUAUAAUCUUUGGGAAGUAUAUAACAUUAUAUUCUUGGCUGCUUUUAUUCUACCGAACUUAAGUUCAAAGCUAAAUUUAAUAACUUUGUAAACUCGUUAUGAAAAUGACAUUUUAAUAGAAGAAUUGGUUUUGGAAGAUGAUAGAGCUUUCCGACAUGAAAAUCAGACCCAUUUAGCAUCAGAUCCAAACAAAGAAACUCUUUUAUGCAUUUAUGUGGUCUUUGAAUUCUCUAUGCUAUGAAAUACCUCAAAUUGUUAUAAGAUGUUGAAAACAUGAGGCAUUUCAUCCAUCCACUCUCAUAUCUUCUUAACAAUUCUCUUUACCUUUGUUGUGAUAUCCCGUAAAGUGAUAUUAUUAGGGAAAGAGUGGUUAUCUUGUUAUAUGUUAUUCUGUCUUGGAAUCUGCCUCAUACGUGAAGAGAUACCUGUCUCUUUCUUGCAUACGGUGAGCUUAUGCAAAACACUUCCGUUCAAAUUCUCUUUAAUCAUCUGUAUUUCAUGUAUUCGAGGAGUAAAUGGAAUUCUUAUGAGGCUGAAACUAUGAUCGUUUAUAUACAGUUUCAGUGUCACGUCCGUGUACUUGACUACUUAACUUUCUGUUAUGUAUCACUGUGGCACUUGGAGAAAUAAUCUACCUAGCGAUGUAUGUAAUGAAAUUAUAUUUGUUCAUACUAAUUAUAAAGUAUAACCAUCGCGAUACAGAGUGUUGGACUUUGCACCACGUGUGAACCAGUUAGUGCGUUCAUAGUGGGCUGAUUGAAUCUGGUGACCAUAUAUGAAGUCUUAUAGAAUGAAAUUUGAGUAGUCUCUCACAACUUUUAUCCCAAUUAGAAUGUUGUCCAAAAACCCCAAUAGUCCAGAAUUUUACACUACAUCGUGUCCCAUGUCGUUAAGUGAAGACUUAGUUUGUACUUUUGCUGUUUAUAACUAGUAGGACACCCUUCUUUUACAAGUCGGUUUUAAGAGUGAGUUUUAGCCCUUGGAUUGUUACAAAAUAUUGAUAAUCUUGCAGAGCAAAGAUUAAAUUUUAGCUUUUCUGAACCUAAUUAACAGGAGAAUGAUUUGAGGAUUUUCUGUCUAUGUAUUUUCAUAUCUUGUUGAAGUUUGGACUCGCAUGUAAUUACUCAUGAUUUUGUAAAGUAUUUGAUCAAUUCCUUAUUAUAAUUCAGGAGAAAGAUGCAUUUACUCGAGCAAAUUUGAAUGCCAUUGCUGAAAAACUGACCUUCGGUGACCCAAACAAGGCAACCUGGACUCCUUUGUCUGUGAUCUUUAAGCCUCAUCAUAAUUCUCUAACAGGAAAUUAUGAUAUUAAUGUAUUAAUUGCCGCUCUUGAAGAAAGAGGGAAAAGAGUAAUGUGGCAUGAUCGCCGAAAUGGGACAUCUUCAAUUGAUCUAGAUGGGUUGAGAAAUGAAUUGUUCGGUAUUAUAGUUAAUGUUCCAGUAAGAAGGUAUGCUGGCCUAUGGAAAAGUAGGCAUUGGGUUGCAUUGAGAAGGAUUGAAGGAGUCUGGUACAAUUUGGAUAGUGAUUUUCCUACUCCUUAUUGUUUUAAAAAUACUGAAGAAAUUAGGGAGUUCUUGGACAGUGUAAUGUCCACUGGAGCUGAGGUUUUGCUUAUCAUGAAUGAUAAAGAAUAAGUUUCAUUUUACUUUUAUUUUUAUGCCACAAGUGUAACUUUAACCUGCAUUUUGUACUAGCCAGUGUGAUUGAACUGUAGAAUUAUGAGAAAUGUUGUGUGAAUAUAAUUUUUCAUAGAAUUUAGGGCAUAUUGUCUUCUAAUAUAUCAAUGUGGACAUGAUGCAACUUGAAAGAUUUUC